rnacentral:rRNA from 1 species
GACGAACGCUGGCGGCGUGCCUAAUACAUGCAAGUCGAGCGAAGUUUUUCUGGUGCUUGCACUAGAAAAACUUAGCGGCGAACGGGUGAGUAACACGUAAAGAACCUGCCUCAUAGACUGGGACAACUAUUGGAAACGAUAGCUAAUACCGGAUAACAGUAUUUCUCGCAUGAGAGAUAUUUAAAAGUUGGUUAUGAUAACACUAUGAGAUGGCUUUGCGGUGCGUUAGCUAGUUGGUGGGGUAAAGGCCCACCAAGGCGACGAUGCAUAGCCGACCUGAGAGGGUGAUCGGCCACACUGGGACUGAGACACGGCCCAGACUCCUACGGGAGGCAGCAGUAGGGAAUCUUCCGCAAUGGGCGAAGGCCUGACGGAGCAACGCCGCGUGAGUGAAGAAGGAUUUCGGUUCGUAAAGCUCUGUUGUUAGGGAAGAAUGGAUAUGUAGUAACUAUACAUGUAAGAGACGGUACCUAACCAGAAAGCCACGGCUAACUACGUG